rnacentral:lncRNA from 1 species
AUUAGCUAUAUCAGAGUCCUUAUUGCCCUUGUAGCAACUCUAAAUGGAGAGCAACCUUCUUUCAAUCAAAGACCCCUCAUGGUUAACAAGGUCAUGCUCCAAAGCCUCCCCAGGCACAAAAACGGUUAAAAGAGAUGCCAUGCCGGGACGUACCUGCGCAGCUUUGAAGACAUCACUGUUGUGCUGGGAUACACAGGAAGCAGUGCAAAGAAUCAAUACGUCCAUCUCUGCAACAUUAAAAUUAAUCUUAAUGUUAUUUGGGGGUAUGAUGUCCCGACAUGCAACCAGAGACUUGGAUAAGCCCUUCCACUGAGGCUCCAGAACAGCUUCAGAACACAAAGAAGAACAUCAGUAUAACCAAAAUGAGAUUCUGAAAGUUAUUUGUUCAUGUGACGGGUAUGCACUGAUAACAAAGAAUAAAGUAUGGCAAUAUGUGUGGUACUUGAAAUGC